CACGAGUUUGAUCAUGGCUCAGAACGAACGCUGGCGGCAUGCCUAACACAUGCAAGUCGAACGAGACCUUCGGGUCUAGUGGCGCACGGGUGCGUAACACGUGGGAAUUUGCCUCGGGGUAUGGAAUAACUCAGGGAAACUUGAGCUAAUACCAUAUAAUGUCUUCGGACCAAAGAUUUAUCGCCCUGAGAUAAGCCCGCGUAGGAUUAGCUAGUUGGUGGGGUAAAGGCUCACCAAGGCGACGAUCCUUAGCUGGUCUGAGAGGAUGAUCAGCCACACUGGGACUGAGACACGGCCCAGACUCCUACGGGAGGCAGCAGUGGGGGAAUAUUGGACAAUGGGCGAAAGCCUGAUCCAGCAAUGCCGCGUGAGUGAUGAAGGCCUUCGGGUUGUAAAGCUCUUUUACUCGGGACGAUAAUGACGGUACCGAGAGAAUAAGCCCCGGCUAACUCCGUG
rnacentral:rRNA from 1 species